AACGAACGCUGGCGGCAUGCCUAACACAUGCAAGUCGAACGGGCCCUUCGGGGCUAGUGGCGCACGGGUGCGUAACGCGUGGGAAUCUGCCCAAAGGUUCGGAAUAACUCGGGGAAACCCGAGCUAAUACCGGAUAAUGUCUUCGGACCAAAGAUUUAUUGCCUUUGGAUGAGCCCGCGUCGGAUUAGCUAGUUGGUGAGGUAAAGGCUCACCAAGGCGACGAUCCGUAGCUGGUCUGAGAGGAUGAUCAGCCACACUGGGACUGAGACACGGCCCAGACUCCUACGGGAGGCAGCAGUGGGGAAUAUUGGACAAUGGGCGAAAGCCUGAUCCAGCAAUGCCGCGUGAGUGAUGAAGGCCUUAGGGUUGUAAAGCUCUUUUACCCGGGAUGAUAAUGACAGUACCGGGAGAAUAAGACUCCGGCUAACUCCGUGCCAGCAGCCGCGGUAAUACGGAGGGAGCUAGCGUUGUUCGGAAUUACUGGGCGUAAAGCGCGCGUAGGCGGCGUUUU
rnacentral:rRNA from 1 species